AAUUAAUUGCAUAAUUUUCCUGAAAUGUUAAUAAUUGGAAACUACAUUAGUGAUAUUUUCCCCGGAAUCAGCACUACUGGCUCAAGUAAGGUUUGCAGGAUUUUUACUUGCAUGGUGAACUCUUUCCUCUUGAUUUUUUACUGUGAUAUCAUUGUGCUUAGAUCUUCUUCUUCUUCUUCUUUUGGGCUUUUAUUGGAAUUUGGAUGGUUCAUUGGAAACAGCUCUUCUACCCUGUAAUUUUUUCAUCAUCUUGGUCUUAAUAAAAUCGAAUUUUACUUGCACCUAGAUGAUGGCAGUAAUUUAGUUUACUUGGAAACAGCUCAACUACCCUGUAAUUUUUUCAUCAUCUUGGUCUUAAUAAAAUCUAAUUUUAC
rnacentral:lncRNA from 1 species